UAACGAAUCUUCCGCAAUGGGCGCAAGCCUGACGGAGCAAUGCCGCGUGUGGGAUGAAGCGUCUCUGACGUGUAAACCACUGUCAGGGGUUAGAAACAAUGAUCAACCCCAAAGGGAGUGGCGACUAACUCUGUGCCAGCAGUCGCGGUAAUACAGAGGCCACAAGCGUUAGUCGGAAUCACUGGGCUUAAAGGGUGCGUAGGCUGGUCCGCAAGCGUCUUGUGAAAGCCCUCGGCUCAACCGAGGAACAGCAGGGCGAACUGCGGAUCUUGAGGCAGGUAGGGGUCGCGAGAACAGUAGGUGGAGCGGUGAAAUGCGUAGAUAUCUACUGGAAUGCCGAUGGUGAAGACGCGCGACUGGGCCUGUCCUGACGCUGAGGCACGAAAGCGUGGGGAGCAAACAGGAUUAGAUACCCCCGUAGUCCCUGAGCGGGCUGGCAAGGCG
rnacentral:rRNA from 1 species